GGGGCCUUAGAAAUCACCUAAUCCAAUCACCUCAUUUUAAGGACUAGAAUGCUAGGAAACUUGAGACAAGGAGACCAGGACAUGGAAUACAUCUGAACAGUGAUGGUUUGUUGAGGUGGCACCUUCUUCCCCAUUUGCUGAAUGCCCUCUGCUCACGCCCUUCAUAUCUCUUGGUUAAAUCUGAGUUGAACAUCCCAACACUUCCUUGUAGAAGACAUCUUAAGAGAGAAAACAAAAUUAAAUGGUGAUUUCUUUCAAAGGAAGGCUGCAAGCUGUUCUGACUUAAAAAGCCAACACGACAGCAGCUUAUAAAGACACUGCUGCCACGCUGUGCAGUUCAAUCUCAAUAUCUUCUUCCACUUUCAAGAAGUGAGCAAUACACUAAGAAUGGUUUGAUACUUUUAUUUUUUUAACAUUAGAACAAUGAAAUUAAACAUGUGGCAAAGGACUACUCCAAUUUAUAAAAA